rnacentral:rRNA from 1 species
AGACAAUAGAUACCCCGGUAGUCCACGCCCUAAACGAUGGAUACUAGGCGUAAGAGGUAUCGACCCCUCUUGUGCCGCAGCUAAACGCACUAAGUAUCCCGCCUGGGGAGUACGGCCGCAAGGUUGAAACUCAAAUGAAUUAGACGGGGACCCGCGACAAGCGGUGGAGCAUGUGGAUUAAUUUCGAUACUAACCGAAGAACCUUACCCAGGUUUGACAUCGAUCGCAAGCCUCAGAAAUGGGGCCCUCUUCCCAAAAGGAAGACGUGAAGACACUUGUUGCAUGGCUGUCGUCAGCUCGUGCCGUGAGGUGUACGGUUAAGUCCGCCAACGAGCGCAACCCUCGUCCUAUGUUACCCAACACGAAAGGUGGGAACUCAUAGGAGACCGCCGGUGUAAAUCGGAGGAAGGUGGGGAUGAUGUCAAGUCAGCAUGGCAGUUACGCCUGGGGCUUCACACAUGCUACGAAUGGGCGAAAC